rnacentral:sRNA from 1 species
UACUUCAGAAUAUACAGCCGUUAAUUAA